rnacentral:rRNA from 1 species
UUCCGUAGGGGUGAACCUGCGGAGGGAUCAUUACACAAAUAUGAAGGCGGGCUGGAACCUCUCGGGGUUACAGCCUUGCUGAAUUAUUCACCCUUGUCUUUUGCGUACUUCUUGUUUCCUUGGUGGGUUCGCCCACCACUAGGACAAACAUAAACCUUUUGUAAUUGCAAUCAGCGUCAGUAACAAAUUAAUAAUUACAACUUUCAACAACGGAUCUCUUGGUUCUGGCAUCGAUGAAGAACGCAGCGAAAUGCGAUAAGUAGUGUGAAUUGCAGAAUUCAGUGAAUCAUCGAAUCUUUGAACGCACAUUGCGCCCUUUGGUAUUCCAAAGGGCAUGCCUGUUCGAGCGUCAUUUGUACCCUCAAGCUUUGCUUGGUGUUGGGCGUCUUGUCUCUAGCUUUGCUGGAGACUCGCCUUAAAGUAAUUGGCAGCCGGCCUACUGGUUUCGGAGCGCAGCACAAGUCGCACUCUCUAUCAGCAAAGGUCUAGCAUCCAUUAAGCCUUUUUUUCAACUUUGACCUCGGAUCAGGUAG